AGAUGUGAGGGCAAUCUAGCUUUGACAUCUGUUACCCCACUGAUCUCCAGGGUUGAUUUGGCUGAUCUGGCUGGCUGGGUGUCCUCUUCCUCCCUCACUGCUCCAUGUGUGCCCCUCCCAGAGCUGCAUGCUGAUGAAAGAGGAUGACCUUCCCUGCUAGAACUUCCAAACAAGCCCUCAGGA
rnacentral:snRNA from 1 species